rnacentral:rRNA from 1 species
CUAGUGUAGCGGUGAAAUGCGUAGAUAUUAGGAGGAACACCAGUGGCGAAGGCGGCCUGCUGGACGACAACUGACGCUGAGGCGCGAAAGCGUGGGGAGCAAACAGGAUUAGAUACCCUGGUAGUCCACGCUGUAAACGAUGAAUACUAGGUGUGGGAGGACUGACCCCUUCCGUGCCGCAGUUAACACAAUAAGUAUUCCACCUGGGGAGUACGACCGCAAGGUUGAAACUCAAAGGAAUUGACGGGGGCCCGCACAAGCAGUGGAUUAUGUGGUUUAAUUCGACGCAACGCGAAGAACCUUACCGGGAUUUGACAUCCUACUAACGAAGUAGAGAUACAUUAGGUGCCCUUCGGGGAAAGUAGAGACAGGUGGUGCAUGGUUGUCGUCAGCUCGUGUCGUGAGAUGUUGGGUUAAGUCCCGCAACGAGCGCAACCCCUAUUGUUAGUUGCUACGCAAGAGCACUCUAGCGAGACUGCCGUUGACAAAACGGAGGAAGGCGGGGACGACGUCAAAUCAUCAUGCCCCUUAUGUCCCGGGCUACACACGUAAUACAAUGGCGGUCAACAGAGGGAAGCAAAGCCGCGAGGCAGAGCAAAUCCCCAAAAGCCGUCUCAGUUCGGAUUGCAGGCUGCAACUCGCCUGCAUGAAGUUGGAAUUGCUAGUAAUCGUGGAUCAGCAUGCCACGGUGAAUACGUUCCCGGGCCUUGUACACACCGCCCGUCACACCAUGAGAGUUGGGAACACCCGAAGUCCGUAGUCUAACCGCAAGGAGGGCGCGGCCGAAGGUGGGCCUGAUAAUUGGGGUGAAG